GAUUUCUGGUUUAAUGCACCUGGCCCGCGGCCACUAGGCUUGUGAGUGCCGGCGCGCGUUUACCAUCCUUCUAGAAAACGUUUCUGCCAUCUAGAUCUUUUACUUUGAAAAAAUUAGAGUGUUUAAAGCAGGUUUGCUAUGAAUACAUUAGCAUGGAAUAAUAAUCUAGGACUUCGGUUCUAUUUUGUUGGUUUCUAUAACUGAAGUAAUGAUUGAUACGGCCAGAGGUGAAAUUCUUGGAUUCGGUCAAGACUAACUUAUGCGAAAGCAUU
rnacentral:rRNA from 1 species